AUGAUACAGGGGGAGCAGGCAGAGUGCGGUGGCGCCUUAGUGAGCAAGCUUGCCAGCGCUGUCUGGAUAAAAGGAUCUUUCAAAGAAUUUCCCGACUUAUGGCAGCAGGAGUGGUUCUAUAUCACCGAGCCCCGCGGUUCCAAGUGGGCAGCUGUGCCUACGUUUCGAUCCAGCCCCCCAAUUCAGCUUGCAUCGUGGAUUAAUAAGGGGUUGGACAGGGGAUCAGUUGAUGAGGUGCCGACUCUGCAAAGUCGCAUCCGAAGCCUCAUUGAAAAGGACAUUGAUACGUCUCCAACGUAUCUAUAA
rnacentral:rRNA from 1 species